rnacentral:misc_RNA from 1 species
AACGUGGUUAUGUGUCCCUAUCCAUGGAAGGCACUUUUGCAAGGGCUUUAUACUCUUUCCAGGCAGAAAGCCCUGGUGAACUCUCUGUUCCUCAGGGAGGUAUCAUAAGAAUUACACAAUACAUUAAUAAGCACUGGUUGGAAGCCAGUUAUGAUGGAGAAAUUGGCUGGUUUCCUGUUACUUAUGCAGAAAGAUUAGAAAAUGAGUCACACCAAGAGAGAGCUGUACCAUCAAGUGCUGGAGCACAACACCAACAUGCAUCAUCAAGGGAGCAUAAUGGCAAUAAAUUCAAUGAUAUUUUAGCAAAGCCAGGAAAUCCUGAUGGUUCUUUAGUGGAGACUGCUUUUGCAUUUUGUGCUCGUAAUGACAGUGAGCUUACCUUUCCAAGUGGUGCUCUGAUAGAGGUCACAAAAGAUGUUGAUGAAGACUGGAUGGAAGGCUUGUUCAAUGGAAGGAUUGGGCUCUUCCCCAAGAGUUACAUUAAAUCCUCUGAGAGGCCAUGUGCCCAUGCUGUGUACCCAUUUGUUGGGGAAAGUGAAGGGGAAUUGACAUUUCGUGAAGGUGACCGUAUCUUUCUUCAUAAACGUUUGAAUUCACAGUGGAUGGAAGGAGAAAUCAAUGGAAAUGUGGGACUUUUUCCUUCAAGCUUUGUGGCUGUUGAGGUUGACUUACCACCAGAGGAAAAUAGGUUUGAAAAUGAAUUCUUUUCUUUUGUGGACUCAUCUUCUAAACCCAGAGACCACAGCAAUGCAAUCAUUUCUAAUGUUAAAUGGAAGCCAGGAAUGAAAGGAAAGGCAAUGUUUCAUUUUACUGCAUUGUAUUCAGGAGAUCUUGAGUUGAAUAAGGGAGAUGUUGUGACCGUUCUUAACACUGACGAUGAUAACUGGAUAGAGGGCCAGCUGGAUAGUGGAAUUUGUGGUUCAUGCCCUGCUGCAUAUCUAGAACCUGUUUAUGACAUAAACAUGGAGUUUUCAGAUAGGAAGCCUCCAAGGAGGACACAAAGACUCACAUCUGAUGACAGUUUUUCCACUAUAUUUGACAACAAAGUGUCUGAUUCAGGUUAUUUGAGUGCACUGCACAAGGGUCAGAAAGGUAAUAGUGUUGUUGAAUCCUCCCCAAGGAAGGAAAGGAAUUCUUACAAUUCUCUUUUGGACUCAUCUUUCACUUUGGAUCCAACUCCUGCACUUCUACCUUCUAACUUACCUACUUCGAGAUAUACUUCUGAAACUGUACAAUUAAAUAAACCUGUUUUGAAACCAAGGCCAGCAAACGGAACUAAGCCAAACCACAGUUAUUCAGUGAAAUACUUAGGAGGUGAGACCCGACAAGAACCCACUACAACCAGAAGUCACCAAACAGUGGUUAGUUCUGUCAUUACUUUGCCAUCACAUGGAAGAGUUUCAAUGUCAAAUGCAAAAGAGAGGACUGAAUAUUUUUCCUCAGAGACUGCAAAUUUGCAAAAUCGUUCUCAGUUUCAUCUUUCAAGUUAUCAGAAUUCUUCUGGAACUUGGCCUGGUAAACGAAUUGGUAAGAGUGGACAUAUGUCAAUUGAAAAUACAAGUGGGAGUUUUGAUGAUGAAUUUGAUUUGCUGUCAGGAAACUGCACUUCUCUUCCUUCACCACUUUUACCCUUACCUCAAAGAGGAUUGGAGGAUGAAAACAGUGAAUCAAGUGCAUCAGAGGAUUCUCCAAUCACACCCAGACGACCAGCACCCCCUCCACCUAUAAGAAACAGCAGUCAUGGAAUUCACAUGCGUAGCAGCACACUACCUCCUAACAGUUUGAAGGGACUUGCACAAGGUCACUUAAAUGGGGAGGGUUCAAUGUUAAAAGGAAAGGAUCAACAGCAAUUGGAUUUAAAAUACAUCAAACAGAAUGGAAAGCCACAUAAUAUUUCUUUAUUGGAAAGUGCAAGUCACAGUGGUUUGAACCUUAGAGAAUCUUCCCAGUCAAGGUUGGAAGAUAAACCUAAACCCCAGGCUAGGCCACAUUCUGUGUAUUGGAAAGACAUGGUGGACAGUGGUUAUGUAAAAGAGAAGAGUCAGCAGAAGCCGAGGCAUUCAAACAGUCUAGAGCAGUCAAAGCAGAAGAAAUUCAGUAGUGUUGCACAAAGUGAUCAACAGUCUUUGAACAAAGGUGGCAGUCCAACAGAUGAAAUGGAUGUUCCAGGCCUAACAACACUGCAGGAAAGAAUUGCAGAGGCAGAAGAGAAUCUGAAGAAAGAAAUGAAAGUUUACUCUGGUUUUAAAACCAUUUCUCAGCUUGUCAUGACUGACCCUGUAAAGCAGAGGGAAAUGGAGGCAAAGAUUUCACAGAGCCAACAAAAGAUAACAGAAUGGGAGGAAGAAUUAAAAAAUCUCAAAGAUGAGCAAGUGUUUUUGAUAGAGUCACACCGGAAGAAAAUGCUGAAGGUUAAAAUAGGAGACUUGGAAGCAGACCUAGAUAAACAAGUCAGGAGUCAGAGAAGUCUUGAAAUGUUACUUGGUGUGGUAGAGGAGAACAGAAAGAAGGAGGUUAUGGAAAAUCUUGAAGUUUGUGCUGAGCUUGUGGAUAAGAUUAGAACAAAAAUCACUGAAUUAGAAGCUUCCUUGCACAGUCUAACAGAAAAGCCAGCUGCAUCAAGCCAAAAGCAUAUGGCAGAACAGAGACAACGAGUAGUAACUGAACUUAUCAAUACAGAGAAGGAUUACUGCAAUGAUCUUGAGCUUUGUGUAACUUAUUUUCUUCGUGAGCUACAAAUUUCUCAGGUGAAGGACCUCGACUGUGAAGGAUUGUUUGGUAAUAUCGAGAGUGUCCUGAAAACCUCACAGAAACUUCUAACCAGCUUAGAAAAUGCUGUCGAUGAUACGAAAGGAAAUGAUCAAGAACUUGGAAAGUGCUUUGUGGACAUAGCUGAUGAAAUGAAGGAAGUUUACGCUGUUUAUUGUAGAAAUCACGAUGAUGCUAUCUCGCUCAUGGAAAAGUAUGAAGAAAUACCAGAUAUACAAGAUGCCUUUACAAAGUGUCUGGACAAAAUUAGGGAACACACAAGGUGUUGGGACUUGCCAUCGUUUCUUAUCAAGCCGGUCCAACGAGUUCUCAAGUAUCCGCUCUUAUUGAAUGAACUGCUCAAGUACACGGCUGAAAUCCACCGAGAUAAGUACAACUUGAUAAAGGCUAUAUCAGUCAUGGCUGAUGUGGCAAACGCCAUCAAUGAAUUUAAAAGGAGAAAAGAUCUUGUUGUCAAGUACAAGAAAGUAGAAGACAGUGGUUUAACAAACAUGAUACAAAAACUAAAUUGGCAUUCAGUUGUGAAGAAAGGAUCCAGAUUUAAUCAGAGGCUGACACAACUCACAGGACUCGUGUCACAGACUGUCGACGAAAAGUUCAUUGAAGAAGAGAAAAGAUUCCGCACAAUAGAGAAAACAGUAAAAACGAUGUUGAAGAACAUUUCUGCUUAUCUGGAGGACUUUAAGGAAGCUAUGGAAUGCCACAAGUGGUCAGGGCAGAAUGUCAGCGACUUUUAUCAAGAAGCUUCAACGUGCUCUGAAGUUUCCACUUUUCAGAGAAUACAAAUGAAGAUUGGUGAAACUGUUCUAACCAGAUUCAUGGACAGUGUUCAAACGCAGGUUUUAUCCCCGCUCAACUCCUUACUCAACUUGUUUCAAGGCCCCCAGCGUUUAAUCCAAAAACGAAACGAUAAAUGCUUGGACUACGACCACAGGUCAAACAAGAUUGACAAGAUUAAAGACCGAGAAAAGUUGAAAGCGGCUAAAGAAGAGCUGGAACUUGCGAAGAAAAACUACGAGGCUUUGAACACUCAACUGCUGGAAGAGAUCCCUGGGUUUACUGAGAAGUGUAUAGCUUUAGUUCUUGACUGUCUGGAAAACUUUGCUAUAGCACAAAAGAAACUGUACAAUGAAGUUCACGAAGACUACGACCAACUUUUAGAGCUUCCAGUUGUGCAGGAAAUCGACGAAGACAUUAUCGAGCAUCACAUCAAGAGAUCGAUGCAAGUUAUGGAACAGUUCUCAGAGCUCAGCUUUAUACCUUGUAGUUUUGUGGCAAAAGACAGUUCUCGGAAGAAGAGGAGAUCUGUGAUAAAAAGCCCAAAUUUACUAUCCAACCAUCUUGAUACGGUAGAAGAUGACAACGGAAACAAGACCAGUUUAUUAGAUUCCACGCCCAACGAAGAGGGUGAAGAGGGUGGGGUAGUCAAGAGAGAGGAUCCAACAUCCCCUUCUCCCAGGAUUCAUCAACCACGACCAGCACCUCGAAGACGUAGUAGCGUAACACAACCUGUAAGUCACUAAAUGAGCACAUUUUAGUUGUUGAAUAAACGGACUAUUUCGUUGAAUUGGAAAAUAACAGUUAAGUGCGUUGGCGAAACCUCCAUAGAUCAUUUCUUCAUCAGGAGAUAAGUUGGGCUGGUUACGCUGUUGAAAGCUACAUGAAUUUUUGUGAUCAGCUGUUUGAUUGUUCAUUAUCAUCGAUCAUCUUUACAUGCAGCAUUUGAAUCUUUCAUUGACUCUCAGUGGAGUGAAUUUGCAGGCGUGACAACCAUAUAGUACGUAGUUUACCUCGUAUUUUUUAGGUGUCAAAAUAAUAGCGAAAGCUGUGAUGAUCUAAAUGGCUAUUAAAAAUGUUUUUAUUUUUUUAUAAUUUAUUUGAAAGACGCACAAAUUUGAAGAAACCUAGCGCCUCGUGUACGUGAAAGUGAUUACGAGACUCACUUUAGAGACGGGCGUAAAUACUGAGCCAGAGCGAAAGAAUGGAAAUCUUUUUUCUCCUA